CUUCGGUUAGCGUAUUAACAGGUGUGACGCAGGAAGGUAGCUGAGCCGGGCGAUGGUUGUCCCGGUGUAAGGAUGUAGGGCGAGAGAUAGGCAAAUCCGUCUCUCACAUAGCCUGAGAUCCGAUGCGUACCCCUCACGGGGGAAAUCAGUGAUCCUAUGCUGCCAAGAAAAGCAUCGACGCGAGGUUCCAGUCACCCGUACCCCAAACCGACUCAGGUGGGUAGGUAGAGAAUACCAAGGAGAUCGAGAGAAUCGUGGUUAAGGAACUCGGCAAAAUGCCCCCGUAACUUCGGGAGAAGGGGGGCCUGAGGCGUGUAGGGACUUGCUCCUGAAGCGUUUGAAGGCCGCAGAGACCAGUGGGAAGCGACUGUUUACUAAAAACACAGGUCCGUGCUAAGUCGCAAGACGAUGUAUACGGACUGACGCCUGCCCGGUGCUGGAAGGUUAAGAGGAAGGGUUAGCCUCGGCGAAGCUCUGAAUUUAAGCCCCAGUAAACGGCGGUGGUAACUAUAACCAUCCUAAGGUAGCGAAAUUCCUUGUCGGGUAAGUUCCGACCUGCACGAAUGGCGUAACGACUUCCCAGCUGUCUCAACCGCGAACUCGGCGAAAUUGCACUACGAGUAAAGAUGCUCGUUACGCGCAGCAGGACGGAAAGACCCCGUGACCUUUACUACGGCUUGGUAUUGGUGUUCGGUGUGGCUUGUGUAGGAUAGGUGGGAGACUUUGAAGCGGGCACGCCAGUGUUCGUGGAGUCAUUGUUGGAAUACCACUCUGGUUACUCUGGAUGUCUAACUUCGAACCGUAAUCCGGUUCAGGAACAGUGCCUGGUGGGUAGUUUAACUGGGGCGGUUGCCUCCCAAAAAGUAACGGAGGCGCCCAAAGGUUCCCUCAACCUGGUUGGCAAUCAGGUGUCGAGUGUAAGUGCACAAGGGAGCUUGACUGUGAGACCGACGGGUCGAGCAGGGACGAAAGUCGGGACUAGUGAUCCGGCAGUGGCUUGUGGAAGCGCUGUCGCUCAACGGAUAAAAGGUACCUCGGGGAUAACAGGCUGAUCUUGCCCAAGAGUCCAUAUCGACGGCAUGGUUUGGCACCUCGAUGUCGGCUCGUCGCAUCCUGGGGCUGGAGUAGGUCCCAAGGGUUGGGCUGUUCGCCCAUUAAAGCGGUACGCGAGCUGGGUUUAGAACGUCGUGAGACAGUUCGGUCCCUAUCCGCUGCGCGCGUAGGAAAUUUGAGAAGAUCUAUCCCUACUACGAGAGGACCGGGAUGGACGAACCUCUGGUGUGUCAGUUGUUCCGCCAGGAGCACCGCUGAUUAGCUACGUUCGGAACGGAUAACCGCUGAAAGCAUCUAAGCGGGAAGCCGGCUUCAAGAUGAGAUUUCCAUCCCUUCGGGGGAGAGGCUCCCAGCUAGAUUACUGGGUUGAUAGGCAGGAUGUGGAAGUGGGGACUAAAGACCCAUGGAGCUGACCUGUACUAAUAAGCCGAUGACUUGAUAAA
rnacentral:rRNA from 1 species